GCCGAGAGGGUGAAGAAUACAAUACCCGCAAGGGGAAUAAUUCCAGCCUACUUGUUAAGGUCUUUGAACCUCUCGGCCACCCUUU
rnacentral:ncRNA from 1 species